rnacentral:rRNA from 1 species
UACAGAGGGUGCGAGCGUUGUUCGGAAUUAUUGGGCGUAAAGGGCGCGUAGGCGGCGCCACAAGUCACCUGUGAAAACUCUGGGCUCAACCCAGAGCCUGCAGGCGAAACUGUGGUGCUGGAGUAUGGGAGAGGUGCGUGGAAUUCCCGGUGUAGCGGUGAAAUGCGUAGAUAGUCGGGGGGAACACCUGUGGCGAAAGCGGCGCACUGGACCAUAACUGACGCUGAGGCGCGAAAGCUAGGGGAGCAAACGGG